rnacentral:rRNA from 1 species
GACGAACGCUGGCGGCGUGCUUAACACAUGCAAGUCGAGCGGUAAGGCCCUUUCGGGGGUACACGAGCGGCGAACGGGUGAGUAACACGUGAGUAAUCUGCCCUUCACUUGGGGAUAAGCCUCGGAAACGGGGUCUAAUACCUGAUAUUCACAUGGUUCUGCAUGGGGCUGUGUGGAAAGAGUUUUUGGUGGGGGAUGUGCUCGCGGCCUAUCAGCUUGACGGUGGGGUAAUGGCCUACCGUGGCUUUGACGGGUAGCCGGCCUGAGAGGGUGACCGGCCACACUGGGACUGAGACACGGCCCAGACUCCUACGGGAGGCAGCAGUGGGGAAUAUUGGACAAUGGGCGGAAGCCUGAUCCAGCAACGCCGUGUGAGGGAUGACGGCCUUCGGGUUGUAAACCUCUUUCAUCAUUGACGAAGGUUCCGCUUUUUGGUGGGGCUGACGGUAGGUGGAAAAGAAGCACCGGCCAACUACGUGCCAGCCGCCGCCGUAACAC